UACGUAGGGUGCAAGCGUUGUCCGGAAUUAUUGGGCGUAAAGAGCUCGUAGGCGGUCUGUCGCGUCGGCUGUGAAAACCCGGAGCUCAACUCCGGGCCUGCAGUCGAUACGGGCAAACUGGAGUGUUGCAGGGGAGACUGGAAUUCCCGGUGUAGCGGUGAAAUGCGCAGAUAUCGGGAAGAACACCCGUGGCGAAGGCGGUUCUCUGGGACGGUACUGACGCUGAGACGCGAAAGCGUGGGGAGCGAACAGG
rnacentral:rRNA from 1 species